rnacentral:rRNA from 1 species
AGUGAACGCUGGCGGUAGGCCUAACACAUGCAAGUCGAACGGCAGCACCGUAAGAGCUUGCUCUUACGGGUGGCGAGUGGCGGACGGGUGAGGAAUACAUCGGAAUCUACUUUUUCGUGGGGGAUAACGUAGGGAAACUUACGCUAAUACCGCAUACGACCUACGGGUGAAAGCAGGGGAUCUUCGGACCUUGCGCGAUUGAAUGAGCCGAUGUCGGAUUAGCUAGUUGGCGGGGUAAAGGCCCACCAAGGCGACGAUCCGUAGCUGGUCUGAGAGGAUGAUCAGCCACACUGGAACUGAGACACGGUCCAUACUCCUACGGGAGGCAGCAGUGGGGAAUAUUGGACAAUGGGCGCAAGCCUGAUCCAGCCAUACCGCGUGUGUGAAGAAGGCCUUCGGGUUGUAAAGCCCUUUUGUUGGGAAAGAAAAGCAGCAGGUUAAUACCCCGCUGUUCUGACGGUACCCAAAGAAUAAGCACCGGCUAACUUCGUG